GCCGGGUGUGGUGGCGCACGCCUAUAAUCCCAGCUACUUGGGAGGCUGAGGCAGGAGAAUUGCUUGAACCCAGGAGGCAGACGUUGCAGUGAGCCGAGAUUGUGCCACUGCACUCCAGCCUGGGCAACAGAGCAAGACUCCGUCUCAA
rfam:Pan troglodytes isolate Yerkes chimp pedigree #C0471 (Clint) chromosome 1, whole genome shotgun sequence.